rnacentral:rRNA from 1 species
AUUGAACGCUGGCGGCAGGCCUAACACAUGCAAGUCGAGCGGAUGAAGGGAGCUUGCUCCUGGAUUCAGCGGCGGACGGGUGAGUAAUGCCUAGGAAUCUGCCUGGUAGUGGGGGAUAACGUCCGGAAACGGGCGCUAAUACCGCAUACGUCCUGAGGGAGAAAGUGGGGGAUCUUCGGACCUCACGCUAUCAGAUGAGCCUAGGUCGGAUUAGCUAGUUGGUGGGGCAAAGGCCUACCAAGGCGACGAUCCGUAACUGGUCUGAGAGGAUGAUCAGUCACACUGGAACUGAGACACGGUCCAGACUCCUACGGGAGGCAGCAGUGGGGAAUAUUGGACAAUGGGCGAAAGCCUGAUCCAGCCAUGCCGCGUGUGUGAAGAAGGUCUUCGGAUUGUAAAGCACUUUAAGUUGGGAGGAAGGGCAGUAAGUUAAUACCCUGCUGUUUUGACGUUACCAACAGAAUAAGCACCGGCCAACUUCGUG